AUAUUGCUUCUCUCGUAGUUGGAGUCUUGAGACAUCAAUUGUCAAGUUGCAAAAGCAGAGUGAAGUAAGAGGAAAGCGUGUCUGUGCCGCGAGAUCUUUGUCAGAGACAUGCUGAGAGGUCUGAGAGGGAGGGCAAGAGAAAGCUUGACACUUUGUGUAGCGCAGUAUUUUUAAAACUAAGUGUGAGAGCAGACAGGCUGCAGAGAGAGAGAGAGGUCAGAGGGGUCAAGGAGGGCAGGAAAAAUAACUGAUAGGAAAUAAGUGUGCAUGACUGAAGAGCACAAGCUGACUGGAGGUGGGACUGGGGUGUGUGAGGAGAACAUCUGGACACUGACAGACGAAAACACAAUACGCACUUCUACAAAAAAAGAACGGCCUGACUCGCUGACCUCCCCGGGGUUAAUAAUACACUGGCAGUGUGGACACAGGACGCUCAAAAUGCCUAGGCACACACACCGCUCCAUUUACCCGGAUUAUUCACUCAUUUCCAAACAGCCGGGGAAUUAUAAAGCACCCGAAGGUUGCACGCGCAGGCCUUGAAGUGCAGGGGGUGUGUGUCUUGCUCUACCCCUGCACUCAGGAUGUGUGUUUUGAUUUUAUGGCUCAGAGGAGGACGUGGCGUGAUGACCUCAGCUCCUGACCCCAGGUCGUCUCAUUCAAACCGACUGCACAUAACAAUCAAUUUCUAAUCAUAACCCAAGAGUUAGUGUAAGCUCUGACCUAUGCAUUAUUCAGCUGAGGGACAAGGGCAAGCAAUGAAAGGCCCUACGCGCAAAUCAUGAAUAUUUAACAUGGAUCUCUUUUACCAAUCUACAGCGACGCUUCUCUGUAACCACAGCGAUUAAACAGAAUGUUGGAACAAAAAAAUGACGGUGUAGGAGUAUAUUUAUUCUCUUUUACCCCCGAUCGUCGCUCACACUUGUGCCGGGAACACUUGUCUCUCCGGUUCAUAACAACUGCUUGAGAGUAAAUCAAUAACAACAGACUGAACGAGAGUCGUGCAAAUCAUUAUUUUCAGCCGGCAUGUAUGUGAGGCACAUUUCUGAGAAAAAGCACACAUUGCCUAGCAAACCAUUUUAGAAAAACUCCAUCCUGCCUCUGCCAAGCUCAUCAACGUCAUUUAUUUUUUCCAUGAUGAAAUAUAUUUCUCAUUUAAAUGCAACUACCAUCCUAUAUAAAACACUUAAGACCAACAUAGCUGGAGCUUUGAUUGUCAUUAUAAAUUGUAUAUUGUAUAAAUUGUAAUUUAUUUUAUUUUAUUUGCAGUGUUAUUAAUUUAUAACAUUUUAUAGUAUUUGUGUCUUUUUUAAUAUUAUUUAAUUGAAUGGGCUUACAGCAAUAACAUUUUGAAAAUGAUUAAAACUUAAAAAAAAAAAAAAAGUGUUAUUUAACAAUUGUUAUUUAAGAGUUUCCAGUGAUGACAGUGUAAAAUAUUGGCAAUAAACAUAUUUAUUUAUUUAUUUAUUUUUGUUUUGUUUUUCCAAUGAUAUGUAAAAUACCGACAAUAGUAGCUUUUGGUUUAUUUUUCUUUAAAAUUAUGCAUUUGACUAAAAUAUGAUUUUUCUUCUCCCUAGUUUCGUUAACUCAGCGCACUGAUUUUGACUGGAUUACAGACAAGCGUUGAACGUUCAAUACCAAAGAAUGCAAAGUCGCCAGAAACACAGAAGCUGUCUAAAAUUUCACCACUGUCUGCAACAGCGUAGCACCCAUUUCCUCUCUUCUGCUGUGCACUCAACUUUACAACUCAUUUAGCUGUGUCUAUUCAUAUUAAAAAGCAAUUUCAUUUAUCACGUUUCUUGAUAAACAGCAAUGCUUGAGAAUGUUUUUGUUGUGUGUCACUGAAUUGAAAAAGAUGAAAUUGUAUUGUGCAGCUUCUUUACUCAGUUUUCUUCUGUCACUUGCGAUUAAGCUGAAUUCUAACAUACAGCAUCAGCUGUAAAGGAACUGUCCUUCCUGUAAUGGUAAAGGGAGCAGAACAGCUCAAUAAAUGCCGGUAAUAUUAAUAACCCACAGGAUAUUGUCAUGUAAGGUCACUAAAUGCGAGCUACGUUUUAUUUAAUAUUGCAGACUAAAGACAAACUGAAGACAUGAGGUGUCCACCAACAGAAGAUAUGCAAUGUCCUUCCUUUACAGGUUAUUUUUACCACAUUCAUUUAUUUAUUUAUUUUAUUUUAUUUUUUAAUGGAUAACCUUUUAAACACCUUUUCAGCUAGGCAUUUUACCACUCAAAAUGUAGUAUUGAUAUGUUUACAGCAGGAGAUUUAAGAACCUGAUCUUUAUUUAAUGUCCCACUGAUUUUUGGCAUAAAAAAUAGAUACUUUUUUACCCAUACAAUGUUUUGUUGGCUGUUGCUACAAAUAAGC